UGGGGUAUCGCCAAGCGGUAAGGCACCAGGUUUGAUCCUGGCAUGCCCUGGUUCGAACCAGGUACCCCAGCCA
rnacentral:tRNA from 1 species